rnacentral:rRNA from 1 species
UACGUAGGGUCCGAGCGUUGUCCGGAUUUAUUGGGCGUAAAGAGCUCGUAGGCGGUUCCGUAAGUCGGAUGUGAAAUCCCGAGGCUCAACCUCGGGUCUGCAGUCGAUACGAGCAAACUAGAGUGUUGCAGGGGAGACUGGAAUUCCUGGUGUAGCGGUGAAAUGCGCAGAUAUCAGGAGGAACACCAACGGCGAAGGCAGCACUCUGGGCCGGUACUGACGCUGAGGAGCGAAAGCGUGGGGAGCGAACAGG